rnacentral:rRNA from 1 species
UGGGGAAUAUUGCACAAUGGGCGCAAGCCUGAUGCAGCCAUGCCGCGUGUGUGAAGAAGGCCUUCGGGUUGUAAAGCACUUUCAGCGAGGAGGAAGGUGGUGAACUUAAUACGUUCAUCAAUUGACGUUACUCGCAGAAGAAGCACCGGCUAACUCCGUGCCAGCAGCCGCGGUAAUACGGAGGGUGCAAGCGUUAAUCGGAAUUACUGGGCGUAAAGCGCACGCAGGCGGUUUGUUAAGUCAGAUGUGAAAUCCCCGGGCUCAACCUGGGAACUGCAUUUGAAACUGGCAAGCUAGAGUCUCGUAGAGGGGGGUAGAAUUCCAGGUGUAGCGGUGAAAUGCGUAGAGAUCUGGAGGAAUACCGGUGGCGAAGGCGGCCCCCCUGGACGAAGACUGACGCUCAGGUGCGAAAGCGUGGGGCAGCAAACAGGAUUAGAUACCCUGGUAGUCCACGCUGUAAACGAUGUCGAUUUGGAGGUUGUGCCCUUGAGGCGUGGCUUCCGGAGCUAACG